GAUGAACGCUGGCGGCGUGCCUAAUACAUGCAAGUCGAGCGAACAGACGAGGAGCUUGCUCCUCUGACGUUAGCGGCGGACGGGUGAGUAACACGUGGAUAACCUACCUAUAAGACUGGGAUAACUUCGGGAAACCGGAGCUAAUACCGGAUAAUAUAUUGAACCGCAUGGUUCAAUAGUGAAAGACGGUUUUGCUGUCACUUAUAGAUGGAUCCGCGCCGCAUUAGCUAGUCGGUAAGGUAACGGCUUACCAAGGCACGGAUGCGUAGCCGACCGACGAGGGUGAUCGGCCACACUGGAACUGGGACGCGGUCCAGACUACUACGGGAGGCAGCAGUAGGGAAUCUUCCGCAAUGGGCGAAAGCCUGACGGAGCAACGCCGCGUGAGUGAUGAAGGUCUUCGGAUCGUAAAACUCUGUUAUUAGGGAAGAACAAAUGUGUAAGUAACUAUGCACGUCUUGACGGUACCUAAUCAGAAAGCCACGGCUAACUACGUG
rnacentral:rRNA from 1 species